UACGUAGGGGGCAAGCGUUGUCCGGAAUCAUUGGGCGUAAAGAGCGUGUAGGCGGUCCGGUCAGUCGGUUGUGAAAGUCAAGGGCUCAACCCUUGAAUGCCGGCCGAUACUGCCGGGCUAGAGUCCGGAAGAGGUGAGUGGAAUUCCUGGUGUAGCGGUGAAAUGCGCAGAUAUCAGGAGGAACACCGGUGGCGAAGGCGGUUCUCCGGGCAUGUCCUGACGCUGAGGAGCGAAAGUGUGGGGAGCGAACAGG
rnacentral:rRNA from 1 species